UGAAUUGAUGUCCAACAAUCAGUGGUAAGAGCAACCCUUUGCCUAUUCUGAAUAAGUUUAUUCUUCAAUGAUUCCUUUGUCUCAUUGUAAAGAUGAGCACAUCCCUAGCAAUUGUUCUUCGAGAAGGAAUAUCAAACUUAGGAUUGAGUUUUUGCACAAACUCUUUAAAACUCAUACUCUCCACAAAGGAAAGGGCAAUUCAUCAAUUAUAGUCAUCCUAACUAGAUAUCUUCUACAUUCUUCUUUAUUAUACACCGAUGAUGUAAGAUUAAACAUGCUACCAUCACCAUUACCACCAAUAUUUCUCUGUUGAGUUAAGGUCUCUUGUUGGUGACCAAACUGAGUAGCCUUAUAUGCAUGACAACUAUCCAAAUGCUUCCACAUACUAGAAGUUCCACCUUUUGAAUUACUUUAAAGGACUUUCUCACAAUAAUUGCAUUUUGAUGUUUCUCUAUUACCUACCUUAGUAAAUCUCAACCAAAUUGCUGAUCUUGUCUUUGUUCUCUUUUUAGUUCCAAGUGUCUCAUCAUACAUCUACAAAAAAUAAAUUAUUUUGCCAUAACCUAUAACAAAUUUAAUUUGAAGAGGAAAAAAAUAAUAAAGGCACACCACAAAUUUUGCUAUUGAAUAGAAAACAAUAAUGAUGGCACACCAC
rnacentral:lncRNA from 1 species